rfam:TPA: Bos taurus chromosome 15, whole genome shotgun sequence.
UCCCUGGUGACUCAGACGGUAAAGAAUCUGCCUACAAUGCAGGAGACCUGGGUUUGAUCCCUAGGUCAGGGAA